GAUGAACGCUGGCGGCGUGCCUAAUACAUGCAAGUCGAGCGAACAGACGAGGAGCUUGCUCCUCUGACGUUAGCGGCGGACGGGUGAGUAACAGGAGAAAACCUACCUUAAAGACUGGGAUAACCUCGGGAAACCGGAGCUUAAACCGGAUAACCUUCUGAACCGCAUGGGUUAACAGUGAAAGACGGGCUUUGCGGUACCUAAUGGAGGAACCGGGCCGCAUUAGCUAGUUGGUAAGGUAACGGCUUACCAAGGCAACGAUGCGUAGCCGACCUGAGAGGGUGAUCGGCCACACUGGAACUGAGACACGGUCCAGACUCCUACGGGAGGCAGCAGUAGGGAAUCUUCCGCAAUGGGCGAAAGCCUGACGGAGCAACGCCGCGUGAGUGAAGAAGGUCUUCGGAUCGUAAAACUCUGUUAUUAGGGAAGAACAAAUGUGUAAGUAACUAUGCACGUCUUGACGGUACCUAAUCAGAAAGCCACGGCUAACUACGUG
rnacentral:rRNA from 1 species